GACUAGAGAACUGUACAACAAGCUUGUAUCAAAAAACAAGAUUGCAGGAUUUAAUGUUAAUGAAAGGGUGACUUCUGCUGUGAAUGAUGAAGUGAUAGAGAAAGUUGUUGAGGUUGUCCUGGUAACCCAUGGGGGUGCAGAAAAGUGUUCAUGGUCAUCUGCCCAAAUAAGAGAGGCGCUCAAAACUUAUCAUAGAACUCUAAAAGACAGUUCAAAGAGGUCAAAGGUUCCAGGACAUAAGAUCCAGUGCAGAAGAGAUGGUCGAGUUAAA